rnacentral:misc_RNA from 1 species
CUUACACCUUCUCUACGAAUCGAUGAGCACGUACACGGAAUCACGUAGGCCCUCGUUCGAAUAAUAUUUCGUACGAGUAUCUUCGUCGAACAGUCUCUUGCCCACGUUUCGUCUGAUAUAAAUAUUGUUUUUCAGCAUUCCGAGCAAAUCCGCUGAUUGUAAGCUUCCUUACGAUUGGUAAGUCUCCCGUGCGUAACUUCCCAGUUUCUCGAAAUUUUCCUCUCUCUCUUCCUUCGUUCCUUCACCCUGCAAACGAUCGAAUUGUUCAUCUUCUUUUGCGUCUUCACGGCGUUCGAAAGGUCAUCGUUUUACAGAGUUGUUCGUAAUAGCGUUAUUCAGUUAAUCGUUUCUUUUUUAAUUGUUUUCCACAGUUUAGCAAUCAACAUCUUAAUUAGUAUAUAUCAUGAUUUUUAUAAGUUGUAAUAAAAGUAGGAAGUAUAAAGAGAGAACAGUACCUUGACUUUUAGCGUCGUCUUUAAUUUUACACCGUUGAAAUGUUAUACGUGGUUAACUUUGACAAAGUGCCAAGAUACGUGAAAGUAUGAUGGAUGAGUAUUAACGCGUAUGAUAAG